UGUCUCCUUGAUGGACUUGAAUUUCAGGCCUUCAGGUGCAGGAUGGCAAAUACACGGAUAAAGUACUCCACACCAGGCUCCAGCUCCUGGAUGAUGGUGGACGUCUGGUCCCCAGGCACACGGAACUGCAUUUCCAGACCACCCUCGUGGGUGGGCGUGUACACGACAAGAACCUGAAAAGGAAACUGGAUUAUUGUGUCCAAUGCUUCCAUCGCACAGAUCAGAAAGUGGGGUGCUGAGAGGAAGAAUGACUUGUCUGAAGCCACUAUGCCUGCUUUCCAGGAAGAAAACUGUCACAAUCAGAACUGAGCAACCAAGCCACACUAGACAUUACAGCAGAGGAAGUUUAUGGAAAUGAAGAACCAUUUUUCCUCCUGUUUGGCAGAGGCCAUACCUCUUGGCAUCUAAUCCCUCAUGGUUGCAUCCUUCUGAGAAGCAUAAGCACUUUUUUCCACUUGAGAGGGUAGAAUGAAUGCAUGUAAACACCACCCCUGCACAGAGCUUCCUGCCAAAGACUGAUUUUGUUGUUGCUUGUUUGCAGUUCUUAUUCAGGAGUUGCUGGUGGAGGCUGUGGUUUAGAGACCAGAGGAAUGUCAUGGUUUGCCUCAGGUGAGAUCAUUCUCAUUUCUUUAAAGGUCUGUUAAAUGUAAUACUUUUUCUUCCAGACAGAACAGACAAUGAGUGGAAUUUUGGCCAGGACUAGUGCUGAGGAAGCUGAGUGUCCACUUCCCCAUGGAAUCCCCUGCUUCCUACUCUGAUUACAUACUCCUUCACUGUUCCCAACCUUCCUCCUCCUCUUCCCGGGAUUCAUCUCAUCUGGUGUGCUAACUCCAGUCCAAAAGUCUCAUGUGACUCCAUAAUUACCAGAAAUCUUUUCCAAAGCCGGGAUGGAUCUCUGAUCCCACACAGUGGGCCAGUCAUUUAAUUAAAUGCAUUUUGUUAGAGUCAAGGUUUCCCAACUUGCUUGCAGAUCAUUGUUGAGUGGUCUUUUCCAACUCUUCUUGCUUUUCCUUCGACAACAAAGGACAAAAUCAAGUUCAAAGACCAUAUGGAGUGUGUGGCAAGACAUAUGAGAGCUUCUCUGAUGGAUGGACUAUGGCAAUUUAGCUGCGCCAUCAACCAAGAAGUCAUGCCUGGUCAGCACAGCAGAGUGGAGAGCAUUGGUUGAGUGUCUAAGUCUUGAUGCUGCAUCAACUCGCUGUGUGACUUUGGGAAAAUCGCUUUCCCCGCUGACACACAGGGUCCUGGUUAGCAAGUGGGGAAUUCCCAGGGAUUAUAGCAACUCAAAACUCUCAAGUAAAAUCUUUAAAGAAAUAAUUUAGAAGUCUCCAAGCCUUUGCACAUUCACUUCCCUAGGAAGAACCCUGUCUUAUUGCCAUGACAAAUUCCUUUAUUAUUUUUUUCAAGAGUUCCUUCAUAGUGCUUCUUCUAACAAAGUUUUAUGACCCUCACAUCCAGAGAGAAGGGCCUCUCCUUCAUGCUCAUCUACACCACCAUUUUUUAACUUUUAGUAUGUUGCACAUUUUAUUUCUCUUGCCUGUUUACCCUGCUAGAUCAUGGACACCUGAGGGUAGACACUGUGCCUUUCCAUCUGUUUGUCAGCAGUUCUCUUUGUUGCCAGCAUCUGUUGAUGGCUGCUGCCUAUGUCAUGUUAUUUGUUAAUU
rnacentral:lncRNA from 10 species